CUCCAUUGGAGCAGCGGUGCAUUCGCUAUGUUGACAACUUUAGUUUAGGUCAUAGGGGAGCCACAUCCACUGAGUAUUUUCUGAAGGCGCGAUAUGCUGUGAUCUUCUUGUACCGGAGGUGAAUUUUUCUGUGUAUCCUUCUUUUAUGUUUGUUUUUUGUUUACUACCUGUAACUCUUGUUCAGAGGAAGUUUUCAGCCAUUCUGUAGAUCCAUGAUGAUCCCUUACUUGAUUGCUUUGAGGCCACCGAAGGAUUAAACAUUCAAGGUCUUUGGUUUGUGCUUCAUCCUCUUCUUGUACCAUUAAAAAAGGGAAGGAAAACAAUAUAAAUAAAACGAUACCAAUAACUCUACUAGCAAUGCUUCACAUUAGAAUUUGCACUAAAAUAUGUGAUAAACUGAAAUAAAAGACUUGAUCAUGUAGGUCGUUAGUUAUAUGAAACAAUGAUGUUAACUGCCUUGUAAGAUUUUUUUUCCCUCUUCUUCCUCUAGAAGAUUCUUAAUUUUUAUCUUGAUCACUAAAGGCUGACAAAAUUCCAUCAUAUAUAUAAUUUCAUCAUAUAAUGCAAUU